rnacentral:rRNA from 1 species
UACGUAGGGUGCAAGCGUUGUCCGGAAUUAUUGGGCGUAAAGAGCUCGUAGGCGGUUUGUCGCGUCGGCUGUGAAAACCUGGGGCUUAACUCUGGGCGUGCGGUCGAUACGGGCAUCACUAGAGUUCGGCAGGGGGAGAACUGGAAUUCCUGGUGUAGCGGUGAAAUGCGCAGAUAUCAGGAGGAACACCGGUGGCGAAGGCGGGUCUCUGGGCCGAUACUGACGCUGAGGAGCGAAAGCAUGGGUAGCGAACAGG